rnacentral:tRNA from 1 species
UCCCUUGUAGCUCAGUUGGUAAAGAAUCUGCCUGCAACGCAGGAGACCUGGGUUCGAUCCCUGGGUCGGGAA